AAAACAGAAGACAAAAGAAAAAGAAACCUGAAAGGCUGCCCCAUAAGGAGCAGAUGGAAGUUGAAAAUCCCAAAGCCAAAUUCGAUGAGCUUGUAAGCACGACAAUGGAGAGAAAAGAAGACACAACAAGGACAAGUAGAGAGAUAUGAUAGUUCAAGCCCAAGGCAUGCGACGAAAUUAAGGUAGAUGAGCGUUUGACCCCUCGUCCGUAGCCACCGCACUUUCCACCUGAAACGGAACCUCAUCAACCAAAAAAGGUCCGAUGUCCAGCGAAAUUCCAAUGCCGCGAGUAGGUGAGCAACCCAAUUCUGCUCUUUGAAGCAAUGGCAGACUGUAACUGCUGCAAAAAGGUAAUUAAUCGUAACCUCCCCUCUGUAACCAAUGCCCAGAUAUCUGACCAAUCAGCCUGUGUGCUAUUGAGUUUGCGAAUCACAUGCAGAGAGUCCUCUUCAAACAUGACCCGAGAUAGACCAAGGUCUCGAGCGAAUUCCAAUGCCGACAAGAGAGCCAACGCUUCUGCAACAAAAGCUGACGAGACCUAAACAUGGCUUUGGGCAUCCUGUACCACAACCCCCGAGCAAGAAGAGUGUGACUCUCCUCUAUAUGUAGCAUCGAAGUUGGCCUUAACCAGAGGCGCGGCCUGAGGAUGCGAGUGUGCAGUACGCAAAACCCCCUGAAUUGCUUCUGUAACGGCCAACACCGAUAGGCCAACCAUGUAGGAUCGAAUAAAGGAGACCGACUUAAGAGACGUCCAACCAAGGCCCUCAUGAUAGUACCUAUUGCGUGACCACCAUAAUGCCCAAAUCGUGGUAAGGAUAAGCACUAAAUUGUCCCAAGUAUGUGCUUGACAAAGAAAACCCAACCAGCUCACAAGAUCCGAAUCAUUGUAGGUACCAGCCCAGGAUACAAGAAGCCAAUUCCAAAUCGAAAUGGCAAAAGGGCAGUCUCGAAGCACGUGAGUAGGCGUCUCAGGUAUAUUUAGGUAUCUAGGGUAGAAGUGCGUGGUAGAGAUGUAUCGACUGUAAAGGUUGUGAAAUGUGGGUACAUAAUUGCAAAGGAAUCUCCAAACUGUUAUGUGAACUUUAGGAGGGACCCAAACCUUCCAAAUCGUUGUAAACAAAUCACAUGAACUCUGUAGGUUAGAAGGACUAUAGGGAAUAGAGAUUUGUUGCAUAGGCCAAUGAAGCAACCUAUAACCACUAUGGACAGGGUAACAAACCUGUCGGGUCCCAUAAAUUCAUAUCAAGGACUGUAAAAGUAUUUUUAUGCUAAUUUUAAAUGAAGUAGCAAACCUUAACUGGGUGAAGUAA
rnacentral:lncRNA from 1 species